rnacentral:rRNA from 1 species
AGAAAAUAGAUACCCGGGUAGUCCACGCUGUAAACGAUGGAUACUAGGUGUAGCAGGUAUCGACCCCUGCUGUGCCGCAGCUAACGCAAUAAGUAUCCCGCCUGGGGAGUAUGGCCGCAAGGUUGAAACUCAAAGGAAUUGACGGGGGCCCGCACAAGCGGUGGAGGAUGUGGUUUAAUUCGACGCAACGCGAAGAACCUUACCAAGGCUUGACAUCCACUGAAUCUUGUAGAAAUACAGGAGUGCCCGAAAGGGAGCAGUGAGACAGGUGGUGCAUGGCUGUCGUCAGCUCGUGUCGUGAGAUGUUGGGUUAAAGUCCCGCAACGAGCGCAACCCUCGACGUUAGUUACCAUCAUUCAGUUGGGGACUCUAACGUGACUGCCGGUGAUAAGCCGGAGGAAGGUGAGGACGACGUCAAGUCAUCAUGCCCCUUACGUCUUGGGCUACACACGUCCUACAAUGGCAUAGACAAAGGGCUGCAAGACCGCGAGGUUGAGCGAAUCUCAUAAACCUAUGUCUCAGUUCGGA